rnacentral:tRNA from 1 species
GGGCGCGUAGCUCAGAUGGCUAGAGCGCGUCACUGAUAAUGACGAGGUCGAUGGUUCGAUUCCAUCCGCGCCCA